CGACGCGGAAUGGAGCGCGUCGCAGUAAUCGGGCGGUGCUCGUCUCGUGAAAACGUGUGCAACCUCAACGGAUCCCGAAACGAGAGUGUCCUCUCCCGUGCUGACGAACACACAGGGAGAGCGGUCGGGCAAUGGAAAAGGAGAGGGAUAGAAAAGGAGUGAGAGAGCCAGAUGGGAAGCUUGCUCUUCUCCGUCCUUCGGCGUAAAUAGCAGGAUAAAAAAGCCACGACGGUGGCGCCCGAUUGGUGGGAUUCCCGAGGCGCUACCAACGCUCCGAACCACGCUCGCCGAGUCGACCAAUCGGCGAGUGGCACGGCCCACGUCGGUUCCCCUCGACUCGUCGAGAAGGCGGGAUUACGGACACAGUCGUCGGUCGACGGUUCGGUUCGAGGUCCCCAGCGCCGUGCCGCGCGCGUCCCUGCAUUCCCCUCGACGCGAGCCUUUCCGUUUUGCCGCAACUUUCCCCCUCUGUGUGUUAAAACAGAGACAGACUCACUCUCUCCCCCUUUACCAUCGCUCUUCCCCUCGUGUAGCGAACCCGAAUAGCGGAGCGCUACCGUGGCACUGGUCUCUCCGUCGCGUCUCCUUCUCUCUCUUUCUCCUGAACGCCCACGGGUGUGUAAAGUCAUAUACACUGUGUAUGCGAGCGUAGGGCGGGCACAUGGGUGAGGGGAACGAGCGGCGAGCGUAUAUAUGUAUUUUAUACAUAGGAGCGCACAUCGUCACAGCCAUUUCCCCUCUCCGUACCCGCGUCGGCGGUGGCCGACCACCGUCGGUAUUGAAAUAUCCUGGCCCUGGAGAGCCAAGUCGUGCGGCGAUGCCGCUUCUCUUUAUAACCACUACGCUUUGCACCGAGACCGAUCUUCCUCUCCCUUUGCUUUUCCCCACCCUUUCUCGUUGCAUGCACCCUUCCCCCCUUUCACCGUUUCUUUGUCUACGUUUUCCGCCCUUCUCCCUCCCCUUCUUCUCCCUUCUUCCUUUACCCCUUACUCGCAACGCUUCGCGAUCCGUCUCUCUUUCCCGAUGUGCCCUUGCUCGGACGGUUCGGUAUGGAAUAGGAGUCGCGUACCCUCUUCCGAGAGAGUUUCUAUUCCUCGUCCUCUCUCUUUUUCAUCCGACCGGAGAGAGUCUUUCGCCUCCCUUUAAAGCGCGAUCAGUUGUCGUUCGAAACGCUGCGCAACCCUACGGCCGCCGCACAAAAGCAAAAAUGCGAGCGUGCGUAGCGCGCCGUUCGGUUUCUCGGUCCGCGCGCGACAUUGCGCAACCAUGGAAUAUACAAAGCCAACGUAGAUGGCGUGCCACGGGUACGCAGCUUAUGGCAGGUCCCCUCCUUUUCCUUCUUUUCCCCGCAUAAGUAAUGCCCUCCUUUGUUCUUCGUCGUCAUCGUUGCUGCUGCAUUUCGCGCCUCCAAAGCAACCUCCUUGAUCUCUUUUCUAUGCGUGCCUCUAGGGCUCGUUGGUCCUCGGCCGACGCAUAACCGAACGUUUUACAACGCCGACCCAAAUUUGCAAACGUAGUAACACUCGGAUUUACAUAACGAUGUAUAUCCCGCGAUUUCAUCGCUCCGAUACAGUUGCAUCGUUCAACGUAUUAAAAACAAAGCCGACGUUUCACAGAUCUGUCCAUCGGGAAACACGAUGCGUACACGGUAAUCGCGGAUAGAUACUGUAGUAAGACUGUUUCAGGUUUAGAAUACGAUAUCUGUUGCGCAAUGCAAAUAUUAGCUGCAUUCGUAUUAUCUUUCGUUACCGUGAUUAAAACUUUAAUCACGCUAACAGCGGAAGUUCCGCGAAAUCAGCCGAGUUACCACUCUUCGGACAUGUUGAGUACGGUGUAUCGAUAUCGUAGAUCAAUUGGGUGCGCGCUCAUCUUAAAAGAACAACGUUCUGUGGCUCGCGAACGUUGCACGAAUUCGGUAGUACAUUCGAAGCGCAGCGGGCGAAUGGGACCGUUCGGGACCGUUCCUAUAGCCUAAGCAAGUAGAUACGAUUCUAUUAAAACAAAUAAAGUGGCUACCAACAAAAGGCAGUCGGUCGGUUUUUGGAAUAACCUGAGAAAUAGAUAGUUUACCUUUAGUUAUACGGACACUGUCUACCAAGUUAAACGCGCGUCUCGGUUUUGCUGGCACCUUUUUGACAAAGAUUUCCAUUGCCUCCUGGCAUAAUCGUGGCUCUAUUUCUGCGAUAAUUGUUGUCUUUCAUCUCCUGAAUGCACGCCUGUGCUCGUCGCGCGCAAUUUAUGCAACAUCACGCAAUUCUCUUUCAGCAGCUACAGUUAAUUCGCUACCCUCAUAACACAAACUGCGCACGUGACGCGGACGUCACUUCACGAAACCUAUAGCCAGAAAAAUGGCGGCUGUUUUACAUUGGCCGGCUCUUAUUGUUUAGUGCAUCUUUUGCAUACGCAGCGUCGAGCGGUAGAACGGUUGCAAUGCAGCAAGCCAAGAGAUGGCGGCGAGCUAAUUAACUGUGCAAGAGUACGAUAAGCAAGGGCGAGCAUGCAUGAAACGGUAGCGCAAGAGACCGAAAGAUAUCGCGGGGAACGAUGAGGCCACUGAUGAUUCGUGUUUCUAAUUAUGCGGGCAGUCCAUCGUGGACAUGGUCGCAUCGGGAAGCAGGGCGUGGCGCCUUCAACGUGGACCCAAAUUGAAUGCUACGUCGUUUAUCCUCCGAAACUUCGCUAUCGAGAAUCGGAACCGCUCCUGCAUCGCAUGGCAUUCUCUCGUGGAUCCCUAGAAUGCCGUGCAUCUGUACCGUGCCAGCUCCGCGAGCUAUCCGAUUCCUCGAACCCAUUUCUCGUGUUUGGGGUUAAAAAGACGGUUCACAGGUUAAAGACCGUCGUGCAGAUCCGUGAUCAGUAUUAGCGAAGAAUGCGUAGCCUUUGGAUGCAAACCUGGUACCGACGUUUUAGGUACUUUGGGAAUCCCGUUAGGGCGAACCUGACAAAAGUGUAAAUCCUAUAAUUGCACCUUAAGAAGACGGACGCAGAACCCCUAAUUUCAGGGCCUGUUCGAGCGCCGCGUUACGAGGACACCGUGAAAAAUUCUGCUUGCCACCGAAUGGUGCCAUUUUGUAUCUCCUAAUUAAGAUGUCCCACCUCGAGCGAGCGGACCCGAACUCCUUACGAUUAAAACCACCGAUAAGGGCACACCGGGGGCCGAUGGUAACGCGGAGCUCCCUUCUCGCUCGCCGCGGUCGCGUGCAUCGUAGGUGGUAUCUGGAUCGCGAUAGGCGGUCAGGGUUCGCCGUGUGAUCGAGUGGCGCCGGUUUGGCAGCGAUUCGUCAAGUACGCGCGCAGACACCCGGUAGACGAGUACCUACCCACUUGCUGCAAAGGGAAACAGCUGUUCGACGACGGGCAACGCAUCCAAAGCUUCAUCCUUUGACCCGCAUUCGUCAAAUGCGGUCGCGUAAGAAGCGAAGACGAUUGAUUCGGCGAUGCCCACCCGUUAUAUGCCCAGGCCGAUCUGUUCGCGUAAUAUUAUAGUCCGGAAUGGCGGCUGAAUUUAUCGGGUAAACGAAGAUCAAGGGAGCGAGAGAGGGACGAUUGCGUGCGCCGAUGGAAUUCAGCCGUGGCGCAGAAAAAUCAAAUGGAACGGCCGCUUUUAAGUCGAUUUAAAACGAAUGCGCUUAAUUAAAGCGGCCCGGCCGCCGGACCAAAGCAGUUUUAUUGACGGCGUUACUUACGUGUGCUCUCUCAUUAACUUGAGGAAUAUCUGGGCUCUCCGUUUUUACUGGAGUUAAUGAUACACGCUUUACGCGGAUCCGGCCGCGCGUUCGUCGUUCCUUUGACCUGUCGUCAAAAUUUCGAGCACUUUCUGCACUCCGGCUUACCAAUAAUUCGGUCGCCACGGUGCGCUGGUUAUUUCGGUGCUCCGAAAGUAUCGGUAUCUUAGGUGAAUUCCGUGCAGGGUGGGUCACCGCGUUUUGCCAUCUGGUGUGACGUCAUUGUUAUCGCGCGUAGCGAAAAAUUGUUUCGGAUGAAAUUAAAUGGUUUCGAGAGAAGCACAUUCUGAUGAUACUAGUUUUCUCGUAGGUGAACGUGCGGAGGAGAUACAAAGGCUAUUAAUAUUUGUUUAAACGGAAUCGUAUACUUUUUAUUGCAUCGAUCGAUGCAUCUUGAUAUUCUUUACAAAAAAGUACUAUGCUAUUUAUGGUAAAAAAUCAUUACUUUAGGAGAUAUGUUAAUUUUAAUGUUUUGUUAGGAGAUCAUGGCAGUCUCGAGAAUAUUACGAAUUCAGUGUGAUAACUAUUUACAUCACACGACGCUUUUUAUAUCUAUAAUACUUGCGGUAAUCAAACUAAUGAUUUUUUAUUUCAUCUGAUGCAUUUUUCGCUACGCGUUAUAGUAAUGACGUAAAUCUAUUCUUCUUUUGCGUGUUUUUAGCAUUUUAUGUAUUCAAAGUACUCGUUGUCUUUAGAACAAAAUGUUUAUAAAUAUCCCGAAAUUUUCGAAUUUAUUCUGGUCUUUAUAAAUAUUGUAAUUUAAAUGGAUAAUUAUAUAAUUGACUUUUUCGCGAAGGAAUAAGAGAGUACGUAUACUCAUUUUUUGAGGAUUAUAAAUGUUUGAGCUACAAUAAUGAGUAUAUCGAGAAUUUUUGAUGUCUUAAAUGAACACUAUUAGCAGUUUGAGUACUUUGUUUAUACUAAAUAUGUAUUUCGAGUGUAUUUUAAGUAUAUUUUCUCUAUCUCUAAUGCGAUGAUUACCUUGACCGUCCCAAAUUCUUCCAACUCCGUAAGUAUCUUCAACACUUCGUUGUUUAUUUAAAAUAUAUAUGAAUGGAAAACAAACUGAAUAUUAUUAAA